rnacentral:tRNA from 1 species
GCGGGUAUAGCUCAAUGGUAGAGCACUGGCCUUCCAAGCCAGGGACACGGGUUCGAUUCCCGUUACCCGCUCCA